GACGAACGCUGGCGGCGCGCUUAACACAUGCAAGUCGAACGGAAAGGCCUGCUUUCCCUUGUGGAUUGCGGGUACUCGAGUGGCGAACGGGUGAGUAACACGUGAGUGAUCUGCCCCCAACUUGGGUAUAAGCCUGGGAAACUGGGUCUAAUUCCCGAUAGGACUGCAGGGUGGUGCCUGUGGUGGAAAACGAUUUUCUAGUGGUGGGGGAUGAGCUCGCGGCCUAUCAGCUUGUUGGUGGGGUAAUGGCCUACCAAGGCGGCGACGGGUAGCCGGCCUGAGAGGUGGGACGGCCACAUUGGGACAGGGACACGGCGCAGACGCCUACGGGCGGCAGCAGUGGGGAAUAGUGCACGAUGGGCGGAAGCCUGAUGCAGCGACGCCGCGUGGGGGAUGACGGGCUUCGGGUUGUAAACUCCUUGCGACCGAGAGGAAGCUACGCGGUUGGAAGGGUGGUGACGGUAGUGGUAGAAGAAGCACCGGCUAACUACGUG
rnacentral:rRNA from 1 species